ACGUACGCUGGCGGCACGCCUAACACAUGCAAGUCGAACGAAGUAGCAAUACUUAGUGGCAGACGGGUGAGUAACAUGUGGGUAUCUACCCUUUGGCCUGGAAUAACACGAGGAAACUUGUGCUAAUACCGGAUAAGUCUUUACGGAGAAAGCUUUAUGCACCAUUGGAUGAGCCCGCACUUGAUUAGUUUGUUGGUAGGGUAAUGGCCUACCAAGACUAUGAUCAAUAGCUGAUUUGAGAGGAUGAUCAGCCACAUUGGGACUGAGACACGGCCCAAACUCCUACGGGAGGCAGCAGUGGGGAAUCUUGCACAAUGGAGGAAACUCUGAUGCAGCGAUGCCGCGUGAGUGAAGAAGGCCUUUGGGUUGUAAAGCUCUUUCGUCGGGGAAGAAAAUGACUGUACCCGAAUAAGAAGGUCCGGCUAACUUCGUGCCAGCAGCCGCGGUAAUACGAAGGGACCUAGCGUAGUUCGGAAUUACUGGGCUUAAAGAGUUCGUAGGUGGUUGAAAAAGUUGGUGGUGAAAUCCCAGAGCUUAACUCUGGAACUGCCAUCAAAACUUUUCAGCUAGAGUAUGAUAGAGGAAAGCAGAAUUUCUAGUGUAGAGGUGAAAUUCGUAGAUAUUAGAAAGAAUACCAAUUGCGAAGGCAGCUUUCUGGAUCAUUACUGACACUGAGGAACGAAAGCAUGGGUAGCGAAGAGGAUUAGAUACCCUCGUAGUCCAUGCCGUAAACGAUGUGUGUUAGACGUUGGAAAUUUAUUUUCAGUGUCGCAGGGAAACCGAUAAACACACCGCCUGGGGAGUACGACCGCAAGGUUAAAACUCAAAUGAAUUGACGGGGACCCGCACAAGUAGUGGAGCAUGUGGUUUAAUUCGAAGAUACGCGCAGAACCUUACCAACACUUGACAUGUUCGUCGCGACUCUAAGAGAUUAGAGUUUUCGGUUCGGCCGGACGAAACACAGGUGCUGCAUGGCUGUCGUCAGCUCGUGUCGUGAGAUGUUCGGUUAAGUCCGGCAACGAGCGCAACCCACAUCUUUAGUUGCCAGCAGGUUAAGCUGGGCACUCUAGAGAAACUGCCCGUGAUAAGCGGGAGGAAGGUGUGGAUGACGUCAAGUCCUCAUGGCCCUUACGGGUUGGGCUACACACGUGCUACAAUGGCAGUGACAAUGGGUUAAUCCCAAAAAGCUGUCUCAGUUCGGAUUGGGGUCUGCAACUCGACCCCAUGAAGUCGGAAUCGCUAGUAAUCGCGUAACAGCAUGACGCGGUGAAUACGUUCCCGGGCCUUGUACACACCGCC
rnacentral:rRNA from 1 species